rnacentral:rRNA from 1 species
GGGUUGUGAGGUUAAGCGACUAAGCGUACACGGUGGAUGCCCUGGCAGUCAGAGGCGAUGAAGGACGUGCUAAUCUGCGAUAAGCGUCGGUAAGGUGAUAUGAACCGUUAUAACCGGCGAUUUCCGAAUGGGGAAACCCAGUGUGAUUCGUCACACUAUCAUUAACUGAAUCCAUAGGUUAAUGAGGCGAACCGGGGGAACUGAAACAUCUAAGUACCCCGAGGAAAAGAAAUCAACCGAGAUUCCCCCAGUAGCGGCGAGCGAACGGGGAGCAGCCCAGAGCCUGAAUCAGUGUGUGUGUUAGUGGAAGCGUCUGGAAAGGCGCGCGAUACAGGGUGACAGCCCCGUACACAAAAAUGCACAUACUGUGAGCUCGAUGAGUAGGGCGGGACACGUGGUAUCCUGUCUGAAUAUGGGGGGACCAUCCUCCAAGGCUAAAUACUCCUGACUGACCGAUAGUGAACCAGUACCGUGAGGGAAAGGCGAAAAGAACCCCGGCGAGGGGAGUGAAAAAGAACCUGAAACCGUGUACGUACAAGCAGUGGGAGCCUCUUUUAUGGGGUGACUGCGUACCUUUUGUAUAAUGGGUCAGCGACUUAUAUUCUGUAGCAAGGUUAACCGAAUAGGGGAGCCGAAGGGAAACCGAGUCUUAACUGGGCGUUAAGUUGCAGGGUAUAGACCCGAAACCCGGUGAUCUAGCCAUGGGCAGGUUGAAGGUUGGGUAACACUAACUGGAGGACCGAACCGACUAAUGUUGAAAAAUUAGCGGAUGACUUGUGGCUGGGGGUGAAAGGCCAAUCAAACCGGGAGAUAGCUGGUUCUCCCCGAAAGCUAUUUAGGUAGCGCCUCGUGAAUUCAUCUCCGGGGGUAGAGCACUGUUUCGGCAAGGGGGUCAUCCCGACUUACCAACCCGAUGCAAACUGCGAAUACCGGAGAAUGUUAUCACGGGAGACACACGGCGGGUGCUAACGUCCGUCGUGAAGAGGGAAACAACCCAGACCGCCAGCUAAGGUCCCAAAGUCAUGGUUAAGUGGGAAACGAUGUGGGAAGGCCCAGACAGCCAGGAUGUUGGCUUAGAAGCAGCCAUCAUUUAAAGAAAGCGUAAUAGCUCACUGGUCGAGUCGGCCUGCGCGGAAGAUGUAACGGGGCUAAACCAUGCACCGAAGCUGCGGCAGCGACGCUUAUGCGUUGUUGGGUAGGGGAGCGUUCUGUAAGCCUGUGAAGGUGUGCUGUGAGGCAUGCUGGAGGUAUCAGAAGUGCGAAUGCUGACAUAAGUAACGAUAAAGCGGGUGAAAAGCCCGCUCGCCGGAAGACCAAGGGUUCCUGUCCAACGUUAAUCGGGGCAGGGUGAGUCGACCCCUAAGGCGAGGCCGAAAGGCGUAGUCGAUGGGAAACAGGUUAAUAUUCCUGUACUUGGUGUUACUGCGAAGGGGGGACGGAGAAGGCUAUGUUGGCCGGGCGACGGUUGUCCCGGUUUAAGCGUGUAGGCUGGUUUUCCAGGCAAAUCCGGAAAAUCAAGGCUGAGGCGUGAUGACGAGGCACUACGGUGCUGAAGCAACAAAUGCCCUGCUUCCAGGAAAAGCCUCUAAGCAUCAGGUAACAUCAAAUCGUACCCCAAACCGACACAGGUGGUCAGGUAGAGAAUACCAAGGCGCUUGAGAGAACUCGGGUGAAGGAACUAGGCAAAAUGGUGCCGUAACUUCGGGAGAAGGCACGCUGAUAUGUAGGUGAAGUGAUUUACUCAUGGAGCUGAAAUCAGUCGAAGAUACCAGCUGGCUGCAACUGUUUAUUAAAAACACAGCACUGUGCAAACACGAAAGUGGACGUAUACGGUGUGACGCCUGCCCGGUGCCGGAAGGUUAAUUGAUGGGGUCAGCGCAAGCGAAGCUCUUGAUCGAAGCCCCGGUAAACGGCGGCCGUAACUAUAACGGUCCUAAGGUAGCGAAAUUCCUUGUCGGGUAAGUUCCGACCUGCACGAAUGGCGUAAUGAUGGCCAGGCUGUCUCCACCCGAGACUCAGUGAAAUUGAACUCGCUGUGAAGAUGCAGUGUACCCGCGGCAAGACGGAAAGACCCCGUGAACCUUUACUAUAGCUUGACACUGAACAUUGAGCCUUGAUGUGUAGGAUAGGUGGGAGGCUUUGAAGUGUGGACGCCAGUCUGCAUGGAGCCGACCUUGAAAUACCACCCUUUAAUGUUUGAUGUUCUAACGUUGACCCGUAAUCCGGGUUGCGGACAGUGUCUGGUGGGUAGUUUGACUGGGGCGGUCUCCUCCUAAAGAGUAACGGAGGAGCACGAAGGUUGGCUAAUCCUGGUCGGACAUCAGGAGGUUAGUGCAAUGGCAUAAGCCAGCUUGACUGCGAGCGUGACGGCGCGAGCAGGUGCGAAAGCAGGUCAUAGUGAUCCGGUGGUUCUGAAUGGAAGGGCCAUCGCUCAACGGAUAAAAGGUACUCCGGGGAUAACAGGCUGAUACCGCCCAAGAGUUCAUAUCGACGGCGGUGUUUGGCACCUCGAUGUCGGCUCAUCACAUCCUGGGGCUGAAGUAGGUCCCAAGGGUAUGGCUGUUCGCCAUUUAAAGUGGUACGCGAGCUGGGUUUAGAACGUCGUGAGACAGUUCGGUCCCUAUCUGCCGUGGGCGCUGGAGAACUGAGGGGGGCUGCUCCUAGUACGAGAGGACCGGAGUGGACGCAUCACUGGUGUUCGGGUUGUCAUGCCAAUGGCACUGCCCGGUAGCUAAAUGCGGAAGAGAUAAGUGCUGAAAGCAUCUAAGCACGAAACUUGCCCCGAGAUGAGUUCUCCCUGACCCUUUAAGGGUCCUGAAGGAACGUUGAAGACGACGACGUUGAUAGGCCGGGUGUGUAAGCGCAGCGAUGCGUUGAGCUAACCGGUACUAAUGAACCGUGAGGCUUAACCUUACAACGCCGAAGGUGUUU